UGCCAGACUCCUACGGGAGGCAGCAGUGGGGAAUAUUGCACAAUGGGGGAAACCCUGAUGCAGCGACGCCGCGUGAGCGAUGAAGUAUUUCGGUAUGUAAAGCUCUAUCAGCAGGGAAGAAAAUGACGGUACCUGACUAAGAAGCCCCGGCUAACUACGUGCCAGCAGCCGCGGUAAUACGUAGGGGGCAAGCGUUAUCCGGAUUUACUGGGUGUAAAGGGAGCGUAGACGGCAGUGCAAGUCCGGAGUGAAAGCCCGGGGCCCAACCCUGGGACUGCUCUGGAAACUGUAAAGCUGGAGUGCGGGAGGGGCAGGCGGAAUUCCUGGCGUAGCGGUGAAAUGCGUAGAUAUCAGGAGGAACACCGGUGGCGAAGGCGGCCUGCUGGACUGCAACUGACGUUGAGGCCCGAAAGCGUGGGGAGCAAACAGGAUUAGAUACCCGAGUA
rnacentral:rRNA from 1 species